rnacentral:rRNA from 1 species
UACGUAGGUGGCGAGCGUUGUCCGGAUUUACUGGGCGUAAAGGGAGCGUAGGCGGACUUUUAAGUGAGAUGUGAAAUACUCGGGCUCAACUUGAGUGCUGCAUUUCAAACUGGAAGUCUAGAGUGCAGGAGAGGAGAAUGGAAUUCCUAGUGUAGCGGUGAAAUGCGUAGAGAUUAGGAAGAACACCAGUGGCGAAGGCGAUUCUCUGGACUGUGACUGACGCUGAGGCUCGAAAGCUGGGGGAGCGAACAGG